rnacentral:rRNA from 1 species
UGGGGAAUAUUGGACAAUGGGGGAAACCCUGAUCCAGCAAUGCCGCGUGGGUGAUGAAGGUCUUCGGAUUGUAAAGCCCUUUUGGCGGGGACGAUGAUGACGGUACCCGCAGAAUAAGCUCCGGCUAACUUCGUGCCAGCAGCCGCGGUAAUACGAAGGGAGCAAGCGUUGUUCGGAUUUACUGGGCGUAAAGGGUGCGUAGGUGGCUAGGUAAGUUGGAUGUGAAAGCCCUGGGCUUAACUCAGGAAUUGCAUUCAAAACUCUCUAGCUAGAGUAUGGAAGAGGAUGGUGGAAUUCCCAGUGUAGAGGUGAAAUUCGUAGAUAUUGGGAAGAACACCCGUGGCGAAGGCGGCCAUCUGGUCCAUUACUGACACUGAGGCACGAAAGCGUGGGGAGCAAACA